GUUGACCUCGGAUCGGGUAGGAAUACCCGCUGAACUUAA
rnacentral:rRNA from 1 species